rnacentral:rRNA from 1 species
UACGGGGGGGGCAAGCGUUGUUCGGAAUUACUGGGCGUAAAGGGCUCGUAGGCGGCCAACUAAGUCAGACGUGAAAUCCCUCGGCUUAACCGGGGAACUGCGUCUGAUACUGGAUGGCUUGAGGUUGGGAGAGGGAUGCGGAAUUCCAGGUGUAGCGGUGAAAUGCGUAGAUAUCGAGAGGAACACCUGCGGCGAAGGCGGGUUGCUGGGCUGACACUGACGCUGAUUGUGCGAAAGCUAGGGGAGCGAACGGG